rnacentral:rRNA from 1 species
AGAACUUUGAAGAGAGAGUUCAAGAGUACGUGAAACCGUUCAGGGGUAAACCUGAGAAACCCAAAAGAUCGAAUGGAGAGAUUCAGCGUUCAGCGGGCUGUCUGGCUUCCGUGCGGCGCGCGAUGUCGUGCGUACUCGUACGCGCGGUACGUCGUCGCUGCGGCAUGACCGGCCCCGUCGGCGUGCACUUCUCUCCUAGUAGGACGUCGCGACCCGUUGGGCGUCGGCCGCCAAGGCUCGAGAUGGGCAGACUGUCGCGCUCCUGGCGCGGCAGACCCUCGAUCGCCUGGCCGACUGCUCGGCGGUAGUUAUUAUUACAAUUACUUGACGGUAACGGGCCGCAUUUGAAUGCGUUCGGCUCGUCGGCAGGCACGCCUCGCUUGGAUUUACGGACCUAGCGCCGUUGCCGGGCGCUUGGCGGGCCCCUUUAGCCGGCGAAGAUCUCGAACCGGCUCUGUGCGCGCCACGCGCGCGCACGCACCUGUCGGCGACGCUUUUGCUUUGGGUACUUUCAGGACCCGUCUUG